rnacentral:rRNA from 1 species
GACGAACGCUGGCGGCGUGCCUAAUACAUGCAAGUUGAGCGCUGAAGGUUGGUACUUGUACCAACUGGAUGAGCAGCGAACGGGUGAGUAACGCGUGGGGAAUCUGCCUUUGAGCAGGGGACAACAUUUGGAAACGAAUGCUAAUACCGCAUAAAAACUUUAAACACAAGUUUUAAGUUUGAAAGAUGCAAUUGCAUCACUCAAAGAUGAUCCCGCGUUGUAUUAGCUAGUUGGUGAGGUAAAGGCUCACCAAGGCGAUGAUACAUAGCCGACCUGAGAGGGUGAUCGGCCACAUUGGGACUGAGACACGGCCCAAACUCCUACGGGAGGCAGCAGUAGGGAAUCUUCGGCAAUGGACGAAAGUCUGACCGAGCAACGCCGCGUGAGUGAAGAAGGGUGUCGGAUCGUAAAACUCUGUUGGUAGAGAAGAACGUUGGUGAGAGUGGAAAGCUCACCAAGUGACGGUAACUACCCAGAAAGGGACGGCUAACUACGUG